CUACGUGCCAGCAGCCGCGGUAAUACGGAGGGUGCGAGCGUUAAUCGGAAUAACUGGGCGUAAAGGGCACGCAGGCGGUGACUUAAGUGAGGUGUGAAAGCCCCGGGCUUAACCUGGGAAUUGCAUUUCAUACUGGGUCGCUAGAGUACUUUAGGGAGGGGUAGAAUUCCACGUGUAGCGGUGAAAUGCGUAGAGAUGUGGAGGAAUACCGAAGGCGAAGGCAGCCCCUUGGGAAUGUACUGACGCUCAUGUGCGAAAGCGUGGAGAGCAAACAGGAUUAGAUACCCUGGUAGUCCACGCUGUAAACGAUGUCGAUUUGGGGGUUGAACUAUAAGUUUGGCGCCCGUAGCUAACGUGAUAAAUCGACCGCCUGGGGAGUACGGCCGCAAGGUUAAAACUCAAAUGAAUUGACGGGGGCCCGCACAAGCGGUGGAGCAUGUGGUUUAAUUCGAUGCAACGCGAAGAACCUUACCUACUCUUGACAUCCAGA
rnacentral:rRNA from 1 species